rnacentral:rRNA from 1 species
AGAGUUUGAUCCUGGCUCAGAACGAACGCUGGCGGCAUGCUUAACACAUGCAAGUCGAACGGCACCUUCGGGUGCAGUGGCGCACGGGUGAGUAGCGCGUGGGAACCUACCCAGCAGUGGGGAAUAACCGAGGGAAACUUCGGCUAAUACCGCAUGCGCCGGGCAACCGGGAAAGAUUUAUCGCUGUUGGAGGGGCCCGC